UCUCAAGAAAUUCGCAGAUUCCUAUAUCAUUGUACUGUUGUAUGUAGAUGAUAUGUCGAUAGCAGGGUCAGACAUGUCACAUAUUAAUAAGCUGAAGCAACAGAUUUCUGAAGAAUUUGAAAUGAAAGAUUUAGGUCCUGCCAAGUAAAUUCUUCGCAUGAGCAUCAUGAGGGAGAUACUUCUGAGAUUGAGCUAACUACACACUCGCAAAAGACAAGUUCAUAACCACCUUUUCACGAGGCUCUUGAAGAUUUUGUUGCCCAACACAUCAAAUUCCGAGGAUCCAAUGAAAGAUGGUGAUGAUUUAAGAUCUCAGAGUUGUAUACAAAUGGACGAAGAGAAAUAGUAGCAGACACAUUUGCACAACCACAUUCAACAAUUUGUAUUAUUUAUGUACGCAAAUAAUUAGUUAAAUUUCAGCUAAAGAGAGGUCAAAAGGAGGGUGCCAUUGCAAGUAGUCUCUCUCUGUUUUUGAAACUUGAACUUGAUCUAAAGUACUUUCAAGUCCCAACUAAGGUCGUUUUGAUUUAUUGUUAUUUAUUAGGAGUAAUGUAUUCAAAUCUCAACUAU